GUGAACGCUGGCGGUAGGCCUAACACAUGCCAGUCGAACGGCAGCACAGUAAGAGCUUGCUCUUACGGGUGGCGAGUGGCGGACGGGUGAGGAAUACAUCGGAAUCUACUUUUUCGUGGGGGAUAACGUAGGGAAACUUACGCUAAUACCGCAUACGACCUACGGGUGAAAGCAGGGGAUCUUCGGACCUUGCGCGAUUGAAUGAGCCGAUGUCGGAUUAGCUAGUUGGCGGGGUAAAGGCCCACCAAGGCGACGAUCCGUAGCUGGUCUGAGAGGAUGAUCAGCCACACUGGAACUGAGACACGGUCCAGACUCCUACGGGAGGCAGCAGUGGGGAAUAUUGGACAAUGGGCGCAAGCCUGAUCCAGCCAUACCGCGUGGGUGAAGAAGGCCUUCGGGUUGUAAAGCCCUUUUGUUGGGAAAGAAAAGCAGCAGGUUAAUACCCCGCUGUCCUGACGGUACCCAAAGAAUAAGCACCGGCUAACUUCGUG
rnacentral:rRNA from 1 species